UUUUCCAUUACACACAAAACCUUUACUUUCUCUCUCCUCCUUCAUUUUCAUGCGUCAUUUUAUCACUCCUCUCUUUCUCUCUCCUAAUUUCUCAAUUCUUCAAGUCUUCAUGCUUCUACUUCAAUUAACAGUUGUGAUUGCUUCGAUUCGUUAACAAAUUCGCUGCCAUUAUCGUCUUCAAUCUAUCAACAUGGAUUCGACCUACUAUGGGUGUCACAAAGGUGAAUGUGGAUGCACAUUUGGGCAGCAAAUGGCAAAAUAUGUGGGCCUUGGUUUUUUUUUCUUGUAAUGAGAGGAGAGAGGUAACGACGUAUGUCAAGAAGGUGGAAUAUGGAGGAUGAAGAAGUCGUGGCAGCAAGGUAUGGAAUCCAAGUGGCUCGUAGAUUGGGUGUUGCUUGACUUUGGUUGGAGGUUAUCAUCAAAAUUGAUAUAGUUAUCUUGUUUUUAUAUAGUGACCUUUUAUGUAAAUGUGGUCAAAAUUGAUAUAUAGUUGCACUAUUUUUGUACAUAGUGACUUUAAUGCAAAUGUGGUCAAAAUUGAUAUAAUUACCUUAUUUUUGUAUAUAGUUACCUUAAUGUAUAUAGUUACCUUAUUUUUAUA